GAAACUUGUAUAUUAUAUUCAUUCAUUACACACAGACAAAAAUGUGGGGGAGAUUCACAAAGAGUGGACUGCAGCUGGAGUCGGUGCUUCAAGAACCACUACGCACAGACGUAUGCAAGACAUGGGUUUCAGCCGUCGCAUUCCUUGUGUCAAGCCACUCUUGAACAACAGACAGCGUCAGAAGCGUCUCGCCUGGGCUAAAGACAAAAAGGACUGGACUGCUGCUGAGUGGUCCAAAGUUAUGUUCUCUGAUGAAAGUAAAUUUUGCAUUUCCUUUGGAAAUCAGGGUCCCAGAGUCUGGAGGAAGAGAGGAGAGGCACACAAUCCACGUUGCUUUAGGUCCAGUGUAAAGUUUCCACAGUCAGUGAUGGUUUGGGGUGCCAUGUCAUCUGCUGGUGUUGGUCCACUGUGUUUUCUGAGGUCCAAGGUCAACGCAGCCGUAUACCAGGAAGUUUUAGAGCACUUAAUGCUUCCUGCUGCUGACCAACUUUAUGGAGAUGCAGAUUUCAUUUUCCAACAGGACUUGGCACCUGCACACAGUGCCAAAGCUACCAGUACCUGGUUUAAGGACCAUGGUAUCCCUGUUCUUAAUUGGCCAGCAAACUCACCUGACCUUAACCCCAUAGAAAAUCUAUGGGGUAUUGUGAAGAGGAAGAUGCGAUAUGCCAGACCCAACAAUGCAGAAGAGCUGAAGGCCACUAUCAGAGCAACCUGGGCUCUUAUAACACCUGAGCAGUGCCACAGACUGAUCGACUCCAUGCCACGCCGCAUUGCUGCAGUAAUUCAGGCAUAAGGAGCCCCAACUAAGUAUUGAGUGCUGUACAUGCUCAUACUUUUCAUGUUCAUACUUUUCAGUUGGCCAAGAUUUCUAAAAAUCCUUUCUUUGUAUUGGUCUUAAGUAAUAUUCUAAUUUUCUGAGAUACUGAAUUUCGGACUUUCCUUAGUUGUCAGUUAUAAUCAUCAAAAUUAAAAGAAAUAAACAUUUGAAAUAUAUCAGUCUGUGUGUAAUGAAUGAAUAUAAUAUACAAGUUUCACUUUUUGAAUGGAAUUAGUGAAAUAAAUCAACUUUUUGAUGAUAUUCUAAUUAUAUGACCAGCACCUGUAUGUGUAUCUCAUACUGUCAUAAACUGUCAUAAACAUUGAAAUGAUUACUUGUGCCAUGGAAGUAAAAAAAAAAUGUAUAACUCUUUAAUACUAACUAUACUAACUUGUCUGUAGAAGUAGCCUACUAUAGUACAGUGAUGGUAUCAGAUGGUAAUAUGGUAAUACCGUGGUGCUGAAAUCCAUAGGCUAUGUCAUGGUAUUUACAUUAUGGUAGGCCUACUUUGAAUAGGUUACCAUAGUCAUGAUAUUUACUCUAUGUUCAAAAACACAUGAUAAUAAGGUGGUGCUUUUUGUGCUUUGUAGUAUAUAUAAAUAAGACUCUAUCUUUGUAAACACAGUAAUAAACUAUCUAGGGCAACCUGUUUCAUUUAUCUUGUGCACAGACCACUGACACAGGUGCAUAGUUUCCACAUGCCAUUUGUGUUGCUUUAUUCACUUGAACAGUUGCAUUUGCACUAAAGGAUGAGUGCCCCCUAGUGGCACUCACCAGUACAUCUCCCUUUUUUAUUUUCAUGUUCCCAUGUAACAAUCAACUAGUAGAUCAAAUAAAACUUCUUUCAACAUGUCUUUUUUUUUCUUCUUCUUCUUCUUAUUUUAACAUUCAUUUUUUUUUUUUUUUUGGUUUUGCAUACACAUAUAAUCACAUUCAACACUCCUCAAUAAGUCUUUUGGGCUUAACAAUUAAUCUCCUUGGCCUCACAGCUUUUUCUGCAUUCAAAGAUAAUGAUGGCGUAUUAUCUUUAGGAGUUUUCUUUGGGGUACUGUUUUGCCCAACAUCACUUUCAGUGCAGUUCUUUUGGAACCACAUUACAACUGAUCUCAACAUCCUUAAUGAAUUCCGUUUUUGGAAUUUUCAACAAAUUCCUCCUGUUUCUGUGAAGAGUAUUACCAUACUCAGUGAGUACUUCAUAAGAUCUGGGCAUGAUCUCUUUCAGAACCUUUGCUUUUGGUCCUUAUUUACCAUCACAUCUUACUCGCACCAAAUCUUUACAUUCCAGAGGGUGUAAAGGUUUUGCAUUUUUGUUAUAUUUGACAUUAGAGCUGCAUUUUCUUGGUGCAAAUUGGUCUUUGCUUUAUAUUAAAUGUUCAGCUGAGGGUAGCUUUGUCCUCAGCUUCCUACCCAUCAGUAGUUCUGCUGGAGAUUUCCCACCUUUUAAAGGUGUUGGCCUGUAGUUCAGGAUCGCAAGGUGAGGAUCUUCCCCAGCUUCAGCUGCUUUCUUCAGCAGACGUUUCACAAUCUGCACUGCCUUUUCAGCUAACCCAUUUGACUGUGGGUAAUACGGACUUGAUGUUAUGUGCUCGAAUCCAUACUGCUUUGCAAACUCUGAAUGUCAACCCACUGAAUUGAGGUCCAUUGUCACUAAUUAAAGUGACCGGGAUUCCAUGUCUCGCAAAAAUUGUUUUCAAAUAUGAGAUCAAGUGCUUUGCGGAGGUGUCUGUCAAUAAUGCAAACUCUGGAUAGUUAGAAUAGUAAUCCAUGACAACCAGGUAGUCUUUCCCACUCAGUUGGAACAAAUCAGCACCAACUUUCCUUCACGGUUCACAUAGUUUAAAAUGAGGUAAGAGUGGCUCUUUUUGCUGUUCGUAUCUGUGUUGACAAAUCUCACAGCGCUGUAUCGCAUAUAGGGCCAGUACAUCACAUCUCGGGCACGGCGUUUACAUUUCUCAAUACCCAUAUGGCCUUCGUGUACAAGCUCAGUCAUUUGUUGUCUCUUUGUAUUAGGGGCUACAAUCCUACUUCCUUUUAGAAGAACUUUGUCAAUGACAGAAAGCUCAUCUCUGAAAUGCUGAUGUGGGCUUGGUAGCUUCUCAUCUCCAGGUGAGUUGAUUUCACAAAUGACUUCCUGUAAUAUGCUGUCACUUGCUGUUGCGUCUGCAAACUCAAUCCACUUCUGUCUUGACCCGGGUAUCUGGCUCACUACACAAUCCACAUGAAUUUGAACAUCAUUUUCCGUGCUGCUUUUACCAGUGUGAUGCAGGCUGGCUCUGCUAAGACCAUCGGCCACUUACAGUAGUUUACCUGGAGUAAAGCAAAAUGUCAGAUGGUACUUCUGUAAGCGCAAGAGAAGACCCUGGAAGUGUGGUGGUGCAUCACCCAGGGCCUUCAUUGAAAUCACAAUCAGAGGUUUGUGGUCGGUCACUUCCCUGCCAUACAUGUAUUCAUGGAACUUCUCGCAGCUGUCUCUUUUUCUACAGUACCUGUAUGUAAUUUCUCUCUACUGCUGUCAUUGUGCGUGAUGUGUAUGCUAUGGGAAACCACUCAGUUCUGUGUUUUUGGAGUAAUAACACUCCAAGUCCGUCUUUGGACGCAUCGGUCGAUACUUUGACUGGUUUCUCUGGGUCAUAAAAUUUAAGCACUGGCACUUUGAUAAGGCUAUUCUUAAGUACUUCCCAUUCUCAAGCAUGCUGAUGCUUCCAUUGCCAUUCACUCUUUUUAUCCAGCAAACUGCGCAUUGCUUUUGUGUUGGCGGAAAGCUUGGGUACUCAUUGAUUAACCCCAGUGCUCUCUGUUUUGUCUUUAGGUGCUGGCAUGUCAACUAGCUCGUGUUUUUUCCAGGUUUGGCUGUAUUCCUGGCACGGAUAGCUUAUCUUAGAGGUAAGAGAGAGUCUCUGUCACUCCAAACUCACACUUUUGUCUGUUUAGUUUCAGUCCUGACUUUUGUGCUUGUUUUAACUCUUCACAGAGUCUUUUGUCUUGCUCAUUUUGUGUUUUCCCCCAUAUUAUAUCACACAGGAAUACUCCCACACCUUCCAUACCAUCAAACAGCUGUUGCACUGUUCUGUGAAAUACCUCUGGCGCCGAACAGAUACCAAAAGGUAUAAGCGAAGGAAACAGUGCUGCCUGAAGGGUGUAUUGAAAGUGCACAGGUUAGCACUUUCUUCAUCCAGGACAAUUUGGUAGAAACCUGAUGCAUCAAGUUUAGAGAAAUAACAUGCACCUGUAAUUGUGCUUGUUAGGUCAGUCUUUGUUGGCAAAUUGUUGUGCUCUCUUUUGAUCCACUUAUUUAAAUCUCUUGCAUGAAAAGUCUAAGAUCUCUGUUUAUCUUUUCCACAAUUACCAGAAAAUUUACCCACUCUGUUGGCUUCUUUAUUUUUCUUAUUAUUCCUUUCUUGAUCAAUGAUUGCAAUUCAGAUCUCAACCUUUCUUUGAGGGCUACUGGUACCUUCCUGGCUGGAUGUAUGACUGCUUGAGGAUUUUCCUUCAGCUGUAUCUUAUGUUUACCUGGUAAACAACCCACACCUUCAGAGACAUCUUGGUACUUGGUACUGUUUUACUCAUUAACGCUAGUUACCAUCUCAUUCUGUUUCUCCACUGUGUGACUCUGUGUAACUGCUUUACUGUUGAUCACAUGAACUCUCUUUAUGAGCCCCAAAUUUUCACAAGCCUUCACCCCAAGUAUAGGCUGUCUGUUACCUUCUACCUUCUGUUACCUUCUACCAGUACACACAUUACAUUCACAGACUGUGUGAUCCUAUAUACCCCUUUUGUGGGAAUCGACUCAUCAUUGUAAGUGCUUAUGCUUAUCUUUCUGUCAUGCAUUUUUUUCUCAGUCUGUCAAAAUCUUUUGUUGGCAGAAGGUUCAACUGCAUGCCAGUGUCCAAUUUAAAGGGUACAGUCACUCCUUUGACAUCCAGAUGAGCUAUCCGCACGUCCUUGGUGCUCACUUCAUCCACCACAGCCUCCACGAAGAACUGCUCGUCCUCAUCAUUGCUGUCACUGGUGUCUUUGGCUCUUUCAACAUCUCAAACUUUCUUUUUAGUCAAGCAGCAUCUUGCAAAAUGAUUUUUUCCACCAUACUUGCGACAGUCUUUGCCAUAAGCUGGGCAUUUCUAUGGUGCAUGGUUGGUACCACAUCUGUUAGUCCUUACUGUCCUUACGUCACGGUUUUUCUUUAACAGUUUUCUUUGCGCGUUCAUGCACAACAUCAUGCACAACGUCACAGUUUCUCAAGAGCGGCUGCACGAGCUCUGAUGACGACACAGCUGUUUCACAAUAGAGUACCUCAGAGAUAUCGUGUUUUUGUAGGACUUCCGUUUCCAUUGCACUAAAGUCUAUGGGUUUUUUGAAUGGGUUUUUGCUAAAUCGCCUGAAAUAAGGUCUGUGGUUAACAAAGCCUCUAAAUAUUUUCACGUUUUGAUCUAUGACAUGAAACACACCAGUUAUAACCCGCUUGUGAUUUUUUUUAAACAAAUUGCUAAAAGGGACUACUUCCUUUGGCAGGGACUUUAGACGUCAUCAUGACAAACAGGACAUUUGGACCGCAUUUCUCAUGAAAAAGUGGAUAAGUAUUCAUACACAGCGCAGAUCAUAAUCAGCGAGCAUGUUUUUAAACAAAGUUGUUUUCUAAAAAAAGUUUGAGGAAGCUUGGUGGUGGUGACGUUGAUCCGCGACCAUGGUGUGCUGUAGUCCGUUUAUAGCCUACUGUUAGAUUUUUAUAUCUGACGACUUUAUUUAGGCUUCAAAAUGUAUAAAUGUUGUGUUAACUUGUAAAGAUUAUCUUGAUAGACAAAACGUGUAAGUGUCAUAACCCUUUGUUAAACACAGAGCUUAUUUUUUGCGAUUUUCCAAAAGUCUAUGGGAAAAAUGCAUAGGCUUUCGAUCGAGGGAACCCGUGUGGCGCUAACUUCCGGGUUGGCCUACAAAAACACGUCAUCCCUGAGGUACUCUAUUGGCUAGAUUCACUGCAUGACAACGAUCACGUGUGUUUCGUGUUUAUUGUCAGGUCUUCAAUCUAUAUUUUUAUAACAGUUAAAGCUCUUUUCAUGUAGUUGCAAUGUUAUAUUGUGCCAUGUUUAUCAAAAUAAAACUGAAAAAAAGGACCCCACUACAUUGGUAUUUAAAUAAUAUAUGCUUAUGUUGAACUUUAUUCUUGUAAAAACAGACGCUGUAAGCAGUACAGAAAGUAUUUAAUGAAAAUGUCUCUGAAACAUCUGUGUAUUAGUCAAAUAUUGCAUUUAUUUCACUUAAGCUGUGAUAAAGUAUGCAAAUGCAGCGUGAGCGUCACUACGAGAAGCAGAAAGCGUCCGACUUCACGUCUCCGUUUUCAGCUCCUCCCCGCCUGCAUGCAGCUACUCUCGCCAUUCGGUUGCAUCCAGCUGAAAAAGUAUUCAAAAAGUAUUCUCGUCGCUUGAUAAUAUUAAGGUUGAACCACUGUACUCACAUGAAUUGUUUUAAAUAUGUCUUUAGUAGCUUUCUGGGCAUUGAAAAAGGAAAUUAUCUUGCAGGCGUCACUGAGCCAUCGGAUUUUAUCAAAAAUAUCUUAAUUUGUGUUCCAAAGAUGAAUGGUCUUACAGGUUUGGAAUGACAUGAUGGUAAGUAAUAAAUGACAUAAUUUUCAUUUUUGGGAGAACUAACCCUUUAAUCAUUGUUUAACACCUGCUAUAACCCUAGUUUCACCAUAUGAGUAGGUCUAUGUGAUAUCAACAAUGUGAAGACAUGUCUAUGUGAUACAGCAAAUUUCCUUUAAAUUAUUUCAUAGCAUUAUAAAAUGUUUCAUUCCAAGCUACAAAGCACAUGAAAUAAUACUGGAUCACGUAUAAUAAACUCACAACUGAAGCUGUACGACCCUCAUGUUUUUGUCUUUGUUUAAGCACUUCAGAAUAUAUUGAUGUAUUCUGGUUCCCUCCAUACAAAGUCUUUUCAAGAUCAAAUACACAAAUUUAAGAAAUAUUGAAUAACUUAAAAUAUCCGUUUAUAUAACAACAGAUAAGUUAAUGUGCCUAGAACAGGUGGUAAUACGCAACUGAACUAUCAUGAAUGACCUGCAGAGGGCAUCAUAGGAUAAAUAAAAACAUUUUCAGCUGGUUAAACUUAGAAAUGAAAGUUCACCUGCUGCCUUAAAAAUGUGAGUUAACUCACAAAUAGUCAAGACAAUGCAUUAUUUUAAGUUUAAAUUUUCGCUUAAAGUAAUGCGUUGUCUUGACUAUUUUUGAGUUGAAGCAAGGGAGGCAGUGCCUCCUCAAAAAAAUAAUCGAUAUUACAAAAAUAAAACAACGCAAAUGUUACAAAAUUUGACAUUAAAAACAGUGGCGGAGGCAGAAAGUGGAUGGUGGGUGGGCCUCUAAAAGUGUGGGUGGGCCAGAAUAAUUCGCAUCAUCCCAUGUUUUUCAACUGGCUCAAUUUGGGAGGGAAAAAAAUGAUGGACCGUCCCUCAGUGGCGUUCUUGUCACAUGACCUGCGGUGCGUUUGCGGCAUUCUGAAAAGUUGAGAAUUUUUCAUCUCGAAGCGCCUUGAAAACGCACUGCAUGCGCGUCGCUUCCAUUAUGAACACGGCUGCCGCGUGCCUAUAGGCUACAUUUGAAAUAACGAAUUUGAGCGCCCCUGAGUCCUGUAUCGACAACCUGCCAUACAAGUGGCUUAUAUCAGUGGCGUAACAUAGUAAUGACGGGCCCCCUGGGCUGCACAGUUAUGAAGCACAUAGCCUACAAGCACAUACGCGCUUGUCUAGAAGGGAACCUUACGCAAAUUUGUGUCUAACUUACUUAAUUUAGACCAACUAAAGUAUAGUGUUAGACCAACAAUAUCUUAUCAAUUAAUUAAAUAGCCUAAUAAAGACAUGUAUUUAAGAAAUUCAAUAAAAACAGAAUAUUGCUUCAGCCUUAUUCAAAGGCCGCGGAAAAAUUCGUUUGUUACGCACUUCAAUCCAUUCCACGCCCGACGUUCUUGGUUUUCUUCCUAUUUAUUAAAUAUAGGCACAUUGAUUGAAAUUAAGAUACAAUUUCUACAAAACGAAAUUCACUUUAAAGAAAGGCUUACUAUAAAACAAAACUUAAUGAAGUGGUCAAACUCAUGUCUGACCCGCUGCAUGUCUCCCGACAUUGCAUGCGCAUCCGUCAUGCUAUUCACUUUUCAUAAUCAACAUAGGUGAAAUUUAAAAAAUAAUAUUAGGCUCUAUAGCCUAAUAUAUAAAUAUAAAUAUGAAACUAAAUUGGCUAUUUUUAUCCCUCUGGCCGACGAACGCGCCGGCGCGUUCUGAUGGAUUUUUUUCCUCAUGACAGAAACAACUUAAAAUAGGCCUUUCGUCAUUUUUGGCGAUAGCCUACAGAUUGGUGCAAGACUACAAAUGGUCUACUUUUAUUCGUGUACGCUCACAAUAACAACAAAACCUUGUACUUUUGUAAAAUAAAAUAAAUAAAAAACAGGGUGCGCUUUCAGCUGUCUGUGUUAAAUAAGAGGCGAUCUAUCCGCUGGAAUGUUGUUUUUGAAAUCAUGGCCAGUGCUCGUUGCUGCUGUUAUCAGUUCUCUUGGCGCUCGUGCACAUGCUCAGUCUUCACACAGACAAUUGAGCGUUUCGUUCUGGUAAAAGCACAAAACAAAAUGCACACAACGUGUCCUUGCUCUUGAUGUACAAUCACUGAUGAACACCUUUGGUUUUAAUGAGAAAAAAAAAAAAAGAUAUGAGGUUGGAUUAGAACCCAGAACCUCAAAAACGCUUGCCAAGAAUUCUACCACAAGACCUUUACAGUACACAGACGGAAUCAACGAAUUUAUGUAUAAAUACUCACUGCUGUAAAGAAUUUCGGCACUAAUUAUAUUGUAUUAUUAAUAUUUAUAUUUAUCUUAAUAUUUAUAUUAAUAUAGUCACUUCGUCGCCAGGGGCCGCUUGCAAUGUGGCAGGGCCCACGUGCGUUGCGGGCCUCCCCGCCUCACGGGCCCCAGUGCGGCUGCACUGUCUGUAGUUACGCCACUUAUAUGUGUACAUUUCAGAAAACCCCUUGCUCACAAAUUACAUGCAAAAAAUAUUGCAUUAUCAUGCCACGGCGGGCCAGACUAAACACUUAUAGCUUACCUUGUAUGGCUCAUGUCUGUUCUAAACAAGUCAGAGUUGGCUGGGUUUUGAAUUGAAGAUGUUGAUAUUGUCAUAAACUCAUUUAGCCUAUCUGUUAGUUCUCAUUCAAACGAUAAAAGUUGUAACGGCGUCCUGUCAUCUUUGUCAAGACGUUUUUCUUUAUUAAAUGCAUCACAGAUAGCGGGUUAGCCAUUUUUUUACAUAAAAAGGGCGCUGCUGGUUGAAAUCCGGCUAUUUACAUAAUAGCUACUACUGGCGUGUGAUGUAACUGAAGAAGAGACGAAUUAGCAUAUUCUUAUUAAGAGUUUUAAUGCAUAAAAAAAAAAAAAAAAAAUCAAAUUUAAAAAAGUUAUUGAAGAAUUGUUAAACGUUAGAAAAAUGUUUUAUUAUAUAUAUAUAUAUAUAUAUAUAUAUAUAUAUAUAUAUAUAUAUUUCCCUGGAUCUGACUGGGUGGGCAAGCUGUCAAUCUGGUCCCAGGUCCACCCAGGUCCACCCGUAGCUCCGCCCCUGAUUAAAAAGUGUAAAAGUCACUCGUUUUUUUAAAGAAACACUGUCAAACAGCGACACCUGCAGGUGAAGUUACGGUUGGACGGUUACGAUUGGACAUGAUUGGUUCGUGCGAUAAAUCCCGCCUCUUGUUUUCGUGCGCGUUCUCGUCGAAUCGGCCUGAAUGAAGACAGUGAUGGCGUUAAUGGGAAGACUAAUUAAAAAGUAAGUAAACAACUGUCACUUAGAUAUCAACACUUUAUUUCAUGUCAAAAUCAAACUCGAAAUGGCCUGAAAACAUGAUGACUGCGAGGGUUUUUAGUGAGCAAUCACCGUGGUGAAAUUAAAGGUAGCCUUGUGUCUGUGGGUGAGUGACCAGUGUGAAGCUUGAUGACUGCUGAAAAUAAAUUGACUAUUAAUAAGAAAAGCUGAACAUUAGUUUAUAAAUAAUAUAUAUUGUUUAAACUUUUACUGCCUUUAGUUGUUAUUUUGGAAUACAAACAUGCGUAAAAACACUAACUUGAUUAAAUUUAUGCUUGGUUUUAAUAAAUAGAACAUUACAUAGUGUAAAAAUACAAAAUGUAAUUGUAUUUGGUCUCUCUUUUUAUGUAAUGUUAACUUAACCAGGAAAAUUGUGUAACGGGACAUAAAUGAGAACGUUGCCUCUUCAUUUUAAAACACCACCGCACACCACUGAAGUUUUGCCUCUAGAUGGCACCAAAUGAAAAGUGAUUCAUCUGUAUUCUCACAUCACGUCACCAAACUGCAGCUGCCAAAAUGAGAGAAAAUGGCUCGUAUUUUCUUAAAGUAGUUGCAAUAAUUAUUUAUGUGUGUAUAAAUUAAAUUAUGAUUAUGAAAUAUUAGCAGCAUAUUUAAAAUGAAAUGCUACACAACUCAAAUAGUUCUGGAAAUUAUUAAGGUUAUAAAAAUGUUUCCUAUUUACACAAAACAUCAGUGGGCUACUAAGAUUUACAUUACUAAAGAAAAUGAAGAGAAACACGAGGCAUUUCCUGAUCUUUUUUCUUGGUGUUUAUUGUAAGUAUUGCAUUUUAACUCACAGCUAGAAUCAGAGUGCAUGUUUACAAAGAAUGGCCACAAGUUCAUCAGGACCUCUGUCCUCCCAGGGUGGAAAAGCUUAGCCUUUAACAGACCCCUUUUCCCGAGUCUCUUGAAAAAGAAAAAAAAAACACAGAUGCUGUUUCAGGAUCCGUUUAACGUUUUUCUUUUCCUCCGUAGCGACUGAGAUCACAUUGAUGUGGGAGAGCUGAUCCCAGACCAGCACCAUUUCUCUUGGAAGUGUCGUUGAAUACGGGCCUGGGUCGGUACGGUGG